GGGAGGAGGUGCCACAAUGAGCACAUCAAGUGUUUUCUCUAAGUUACUCUUCUUCAAGUCAGGCUGAAAAAUGAACCCUGGGUAUAAAGAUGCCAUGGGAAGCUCUUAAUCUUAGGAAAAAAGAGCCUGAGGACAUUCUGAUGCUUCUGCAUGAAGACAGAAAGCAGUCCACAGUGCCAAGAUAAAGCUGAGGCUUCGAGAGGCCACGGGCAUUUUAUUUAACACCAUGAACCCGACUGUGGCACCUCCAGCUUGGAUCCCCACUGCUCACUGCUCCACACAGCCAGCAACACACUGCAAGGGAUCCAAUUCCUGUACAGCUUCCCUGGGGCAGCACAGCCUUCCAGAGAUCAGGGCAACCAGGGGGAUCUGCCUGAGGAGGCAAGUUCACAUCACUCACUGCCCAGCAAACUGUCUCUGUAUCAGCUAAAGACAACUCAAAGGCAAGUCUGCAGAAGCAGGUUAAACAUCACUGUAUGAUAUCAAGCACUGGCUUCUACAAUUUCAUAUUUUUAAGAUCAGAUAAAAAAGGAAAGAAAGGGUUUUUUUCCCUGCACAUCUCUUUAUAGACUUUCCAACAGCUUACACACAAAGCAUUUAGACACUUUAAUUUCCACUCCAAUAUGAAUACUCUAACCCCAAA